rnacentral:rRNA from 1 species
GACGAACGCUGGCGGCGUGCUUAACACAUGCAAGUCGAACGGAAAGGCCCUGCUUUUGUGGGGUGCUCGAGUGGCGAACGGGUGAGUAACACGUGAGUAACCUGCCCUUGACUUUGGGAUAACUUCAGGAAACUGGGGCUAAUACCGGAUAGGAGCUCCUGCUGCAUGGUGGGGGUUGGAAAGUUUCGGCGGUUGGGGAUGGACUCGCGGCUUAUCAGCUUGUUGGUGGGGUAGUGGCUUACCAAGGCUUUGACGGGUAGCCGGCCUGAGAGGGUGACCGGCCACAUUGGGACUGAGAUACGGCCGAGACUCCUACGGGAGGCAGCAGUGGGGAAUAUUGCACAAUGGGCGGAAGCCUGAUGCAGCAACGACGCGUGCGGGAUGACGGCCUUCGGGUUGUAAACCGCUUUCGCCUGUGACGAAGCGUGAGUGACGGUAAUGGGUAAAGAAGCACCGGAUAACUACGUG